GUGGGUGUAGCUCAAUGGUAGAGUUCCAGAUUUCCAAUCUGGUUGUUUUUGCGAGUUCGAGCCUCGUCACCCACUCCA
rnacentral:tRNA from 1 species